UGUCAGAAUCCAAGGCUUUAGGUUACUGAGCGUGGCAUGCGCCCUCCCACUAUUCACGUCUUCAUCUCCGUUUACCCUUCUGGUUAUUUCCCCUUUGUGGAUUUGGACCCCUGCUUUAUUAUGAAUUCAGCUCUGCAUUCAAAAAGAUUUUUGUUCUAUGUUAUCCCAUAUUUCUAUGUUUAUAAGAGAAGAGUCCAUCCACAUCACUGAAUUCUUCAAACUUUAAUGUGAAUAUGAAGUGCCUGGCGAUGUUGGUAAAAAUGCAGAUUCUGAUUGUGUCUUCAGUCCAGCCCAAGACUCUAUCGCUAACACGAUCUCCGGGAAGGCCUGUGAUACUAAUCCCUGAACCACCCUUUGAGUAGCAAGCGCCUACGUCGACUAUCAUAGUGGUGGAAACAGGAUUCCAAAAUCAGUUUUUGCAUCUGGUCUCUGAAGAAAACGGUCUGUAGCGAUUUUUUGGCCAGCUCCUCCUGAGUUGCCCUGGAAGCAACAUGAAGGUCAAAAUCACUGAAUAAAACGGUGUGAAAAAAAAAAAAAGCCAAUAUACAACUUGGAGUCUAAUCUUGGCUAACAGCAAUUUACUUAAAGCUCUUACAUCCUGAAUCGGCCAAUAGUUUUCAAAUAGGAAGUUAACAUCAUGAGUAAAUGUGUAUCAUAGAACAUGAGAUUGAAGUUUUCCAUAUAAAUGCCUAUGUUGCCCUGAUACCUUGAUUUGCCAAAAUACCGUGGUAUGUGAUUGGCUCAUUUGAUCCCUACAACAAACCUGGGAGGCAGAUGUAACGAUCUCCUCAAACAGCCAAGAGAUUUUUGGUGGGUUAGACGGGAUGACACUCAUGAAAGGAUUUACCCACUGCUUGACAUCUUUUAUUUUGCUUUUGAAAUAAAAUUGGAUAUAUUUAAGGUGUGCAACAUGAUGACUCGGUAUACAUAGUGAAAUACUACAGUCAAGCUGAUGAUGGCCAACUCUUCACGUAGUUCCCUUUUUACUGUUUUGUGACGUGUUUUCCAUGUGUUAAUUUAUGGAAUCCCGAAACCAUGAGAUAGAGGUGACAGUGGAGUUUCAGGUGUACAUUUUUAUAAAGACGGAGAUAAUCCAGUGGAUCCUAGAAUUACGUCCUGUCCUCUACGUCACGGAUCCAUCGUAAAUGUUAAAACCGAGCCAUAGGCUGAAUUGUCAUAAUCGAUGAGGAACCUGAGGCCCAGAAGUGAAGUCACUUUUCCAAGUCACAUAGGCAGGCCGGCAAUGUCAGGAGUCCAAUCCAGGAAAGAUGGGAAAAAAUAGAGGAAAAGCAAAACACAGAAGCCACUUCUCAACCUGCAGGAACCCAAGCCAGAGGUCAGGCCUGAACCUGGAAAGAGGUAUGAGGACAGGAGUGGGGAGAAGCUUUAUAUUGGGUGUGAGAUUGAGGUUUGGAUGCAGACUGGACUGGACUUCUGAGUCGCUGAAAGUAAGUCAUGGCCAUUUGUGGGGGUUUUUGAAUAACUGUGUGACCAAAACUCUGAAUCUGUGCUUCCCACUGUGGAGCAAAGAGAUCCAUCAGAACAGAGCGGGGAGUGACGCUUGGAGGAAAAACAGUCAUUUCCUAUCUGUGCCUUAUCCAUUUCAGUGCAUUUAACAAGCUGGUGGCGUUUGUGAGGGUAAGGUCUGAAGAGCGUACUGAGGGGCAGAGGUUUGGGGGAGGAACCGACCGUGGCUUGUCAGUCUGGUUUAUUGGGAGGAUACCAUACAGAGUCAGGAUCCUUUGCAGCCAGUCUUGAGGGUAGGUUUUAUUGGCUAGAUGUGCCCUUGGGGAAAUUAUUUUCCCACCUCUGGGAGAAACCGUUAUCUAAAGCCAAGAUUAGUUUGCGGGGCUGUUACUGGCCGACCAGGUCGUCUGUCUGUGAAGAAUGACUGUAACACGUCAGAGAAUUGCCGUGAGCCGACAGAAUGCCUAAGAUGUCCGGCCUUCGAGAUCGUUGGUGAGGUCAUCCAGACAGGCCCUCGGAGGUUGGGGCAGAAUGCUUUCAGUCCCCUUGUGGGCUUUCAGAUGAGUAGAGAGCUGGAGGACAGUGCCGGUCGGCUGGUUGUCGUUCAGGGUCAGGUCUGGCCUCCAGACAAAGUCGUCCAGCUAGGGCUCUGCAGUCCUUUCAGGCUUCCAGUGGACGUGGAUUAAUGCUAGAGCUCCAAAUAAACGAGAGAACGGAAUGAUUUCUUCUAUGUUGAAGGGGAAGCCAAGCCAUCUGGACUCAGCACACAGGGGCAUGAGGGAAAUGCUGUGGCUUCGCAUCUGUGCCCCUUCAGAGAGUCCCCGCAGCGAUUGCCAGGUUACGGCAACGAGGACAGCAGGCCUGGUGGAUAUGGGGGCUCUUGGUGAAGCACCGGCUGUGGUCAAGACUGGCUCCAGGAAACCGGGAAGCAUCGAAAGCUUCAGACGCCGGAAAAGCCAAUCGCCGUGGUGGAUGGCUCUUACCUUGUGGUCUGCAGAGGGCACCGCUGCCUGGGAGAGAAAACACUGUAAAAUGAGUCUGUCCCCUGAGUCUGAAGUGACACAAUAUAUGCUUGGUUGGUCUUUCUUAUCAGUCAUGAUACUGCUCUAGACUUUUCAAUUUUAAUGCCUGAAUGAGCAUUUUGAAAACGCAUCUUUGUCUUGUAGGAGUUAGGCUUGUGGGCAAAUCCCGAGUUGUGGAACAUCUCUGGGCUGAGUUUUGAAGGUUUGAGAAAGCCUUUUUUAAGAUUUUGUUUUUAGGUAAUCUCUGCGCUCAACGUGGGCCUCGACCUCAAAACCCCGAGAUCAGGAGUCGCACGCUCCACUGACUCAGCCAGCCAGGAGAU